rnacentral:lncRNA from 1 species
CGCUCAUUGAGAGGAGGUAAGUACUGACUGGGCUGCAGGGACAGCUCCUUAAACUCGUGUGCGACCGCUUCACUGUGAGGGCUGGGGGCGAGACGUGGCAGGGUUCCAGGGUCAUCCUCAGCAUCCACUGUGCCCACGUGAUCCAUAGUGUUAAAUCCUUUUGGAUCCUCCACUUGUAGUAUCCUCUUGUAGUGUCUGCUUUCAGCACAUUUCCUCGCCCGACGCCGCCGCGGACAUGAUGUCCUCUCGCGAGCUCCGCGGCCGAGACCGCCCCCGGGCGCGCGCCCCGGCGGUUGGCCCUCGGUGGGGGCGGGGAGACGCGCGCGCUGACGCCGUGCGGCCGCCUCACACGUGUGGGGGCGGGAAGGGGCGGUGGUUGGGGCCGCUGCUUCCGGGCACCGCGCGCCCUCUCACGGAGUCCGGCCGCAGCUCUGCGCGCCGCUCCGCGCGUCUCGGAACUCCUCCCCGCGGCCCGAGGGGCGCCGCCGCUCUCCGCGGUGGCCGUUGGCUCCGCCCCAAGGCGGUACCCGCGCUCGGGGACCGCCCUCCUUCCCGCGGGUGGCCGCGGCGCUGCGCCGUGAGGUGCGGCCGUGGGGAGCUGCGCUCCCUCGGAGGCCUGAGGUGAGAGGGAAGGCCCGGCGCGCGACUGCAGACCGCGCCGUGCAGGAGCGAGGUGGAGCCGCGGCCGUAGCGUUAAAAGGUUGAGGCGUCUGAGUUUUACCGAGCGUCACAGCAGCUGAGAGGGAAACGGCACUCUGCUCGGAAAAGGUGACGGGAUCCCGGCCUGAGCGUGAAAAGGUGCAGGAGGAAAAUGAGGCGUUCCUCCCGCUAGCACGGGGCGAGUCUGCGCGUACGCGGGGCUGUGGUUGGCAGCUCCGGUUCUAUUCUGCGCUUUUUAGCGGAGAUCAAGGGCUGAGCUGCCGCGUGUAGAACAGCCCGAGGCUGAGGUGUGUGUUUGUUUGCUGGCUGCCGGCUCUGGUGCCGCGGAGCUCGCCAGGAGGCUGCGGCUGGCUGAGGCCUCCAAGCCCGAUUUGGUUCCUGGCUCUCACGAGAUUUGGUGCCUUCAUUCAACAGAACAUGCACGUACAUGAAGGAGUUUUAAAAUUUCAUACCGUUUUAAACACUCUGCUGUACUUCAUUGCAGACUUGGACAUUUCAAACGUGGCUUGUUUGAAUUAGGUGGGUUGGAAGGGAGAUUAAUUGUUUUGCCUUUUAAACUAGGGUGCAUAACUUGCACGUUCCUCUAAAUUAGAGUUACUUAAUCAGAUUUUAACCAAAUUCAGAAACAAACUAAAACCAGCAAUGACCUGGAAGCAACAAUGUGCUGCAUGAAUGUCUCAUUAAAACCUGUGGUUGACUCCAGAUUCAAUUCUGUCAGCCUCUGAAUAAAACAGUUCAGAUGUGAGUCUGCUGUUAGAACUGGCAGUGCAAGCAACUACUAAUAUGUACGCACCAUGAUGUGUGCCAUUUAAUAAAUCAGGAUUACAAAGCAAGGUGAAAUUAAAUAGAAGUAAUCUAUUUCUAAACUUUCCCUUUUCUAGCAGUAAUAUCUGGCACAGGGGCUAUGAUAUUAAUCAUAUUAAUAGAGAAAUGAUACUCUAAACUCAGGGCAAAUUAUUACAUAUGACCAAACAGCUGUUGUCAUUAAUGAAGGUGGCAGAACAAGUAUCAGUGAUAUGUGUUACAGGGAGGCAGGAAGACACACACCUUAAAAACCCUCUGCAGUUCCUUUAGUUCAAGGAACUUUUUCCCCAAAAAGACACUUUUCCCACAGUCAGAAAUUUGUAGUUACUAAUGAGCUACAUUUGCAAACUGAUUCUUAUUGUUUGAGUUUCAGCACAAACCAAGGGUUCAACUGAACCCGUGGCUGUCUGUCUUUUGCAUUCAGUUUUAAGGACAAAUCAAGGAGGCUUCACCAGGCCAUCACAAUGGCCAUGCCUACAUCAUUCAUCAAAAUGACUAAAUGUUUGGUUUUUCCCCAUUAAAAUCCAUAUUGUUUAAUGUUUUGUGAGUAAGAAGUUAGUCUAGAGAGUUCUAGGAAAACUAAGAAUUAAACAACAAAAAGAUAUGCACCUAUAUAUUCAUUGGUGUACACAAAAUCAAAAGUAAUGGGGGAAACCAAUGCAUUUAAAUUCUAGUGAAGAAUUUUGAGUGAGAUUGAUACUGAAGAUGAGCUGUCAGAUAAUUACGCCAAAGAAAUUAGGUUAUGUCUUUUUUUCCCCCUUUGAAUACAGUGAAAAAUAAGAAUAUUUGCUGUUUUCAUCUUACUGAAGUUGGUGUCCGUUCACAAAGAAGAUAUUUAUUUUCUGUUUUCCUCAGAACAAGCACAAGCAACCCCCUUGCUAUGGAGAGAUGAAGUUGGCAAAGUUCAGUCUGCCUCUUCACCUUUUUGUUUUAUGUUUAAGUUAGCCAAAUAAUUCAUAGUGCUGCAAAAUCAGAGAAAAAAAGAUUGUGAUUUCAGGUGACAGCAGCAUUUAUCCAUGUUUCUGUCUUGUGUAAAAAAUAGAAAUUAUGUAAUUUGUUCAAAAAUGCUUUACCUAUUUACAGAUAAUACAUUAUAUAUUGAAACAAGCACGUUCUUAUGCAAGAGGUGCAAAAUCUCCAUUGUUGUAUUCAGCUUAGAUUAUUCUAUUUAUUUCAACUUGUGCAAGCACUAAAGCAUCAGUAAUUAAUAUAUUAGAAUGGUACAGAUGUGGUUGAUACUGUGCAGUUACUGAGUUUUACGUGGUAAGCAAUACUGUGUAGUGCUGGAAACCUGAUGAAAGGAAGUAUCAGGAAAAAAGUAUAAAAAUGUUCAUAUUAAGUGCAAUUGAUGCUCAUUUCCUGAAGGUGCUUGGACACUAGCCAAUGCAUGGAAAGGAAGAUGCAUUUAAAGAAUCAAAUAACUUCUUGAAAAUGGUAUCUCCCAUACAAUCUCAGUGGAAAUUGUCCAACGCAUCACAACAGCUCUUGACUUUGAGCACCACCUCUCUUGUCUUGAGCACAAAUAUUUGUUACGCUUCCUUCUCGCUGCAGGGAAGUUCAGUUACAGAACUUGACAUUUGCCUCCAAGAGUAACAAUGAACUCAGUGUUCCUCUACUUGCAACAGAAGUAAGCACAGUGAACGGAGGUGGAGUAAUUUUAACUAGUAGAGUAAAGCUGUUUGAGAGACCUCACUUUCAUUCUAUUGCAGCUCUGUUUUGUUGCAAUAAACUACUAGUUAUGAAAAACAGGCAAAUAAUAGGGUAUCAGUUCUUUAAAAACCAAAUAUUGCUCAAAUGUAAAUAUUUGUGACGUAUGACAAGUAUUCAUUUCAUUGUGGAAUUGAAAGCUGUAUUUUAGGGAAGGAUAGUGUUUAAAGAAACAGAAAUGAUGUAUGCUUUUGGUUCUAUAACAUAUUACAUAAAGGAUUUCUUCUAGAAGUGUAGAUACUGUUCAGUUUUGUUAAUGGGAGAAUGUUCAUUAAAGCACACAAUAAACAUAUCCUGUAAUUAAUGUAAUUAGCACAGAAUUAUCAAAUUAACAUCAAUAAUAUUGUUUUUACGCAUUUCAAAGCCCUGUCAAGUACACACCGUGCUGGCGAAGUCCCGUGUCACUGUUUGGGGUGUAGCUGUAAAAGUCUUAAUGCAGUGUGACACCUCAGUCAUUUGCAUUUUCCAAAAGCUUCCCAGCAGUUCUUUCCUAAGCAUAUCAGAAAGAGAGGUUUCAUUCUCAGUGUUGUAGAAAGCAAGGCCAUAUGUGAGUUUGAUAAUUUCACUGUUGCAAAUGCUAUAACCAGUGCAAGUGGCUGACUGGCUAUAAGUCAGAACUUGCUACUGUUGUUUAUAGGAACACGCUGUCUUGACAUGCCUGUAUUCAGCAGGUCUUCUGAUCUGUUUUUCUGAUAUGUAAGUAUUUGGUAACUACAUCAAGGAAUCACACACAUCCUGGGGAGGAAUUUCACUCAGUAGAAUCCCAUUUGCAGUAGUAGUGUAAAUUUUAGCAAAUAAUUUAAAAAGAGAGUUGGUGUAUAUAUUCAGGUAAUGCUUUUUUUUCGUCAUCCCUGUCUGCAGGCAGUGUGAUGCUCAUUUGUGGCAUCCUUCUCUAGAAAGCACUUGAAGCUUCUAUCUUCUAAACACAAGGAACUGAAGGACUUUGAAUUGUGGCCAAACUUGUGCAGCCUUAGAGACAAGCUUUUAUUCACGAGUUACCUUGCCAACCACAAGUAGCACCUUCUCAGAUGAAGUGUGUCAUACCUUCAUGCCACUUUACAGAAGUGAGUUAUACUUACCAUAAAAAUGUAAUUUUCUUUAUUUUUUUAAUCACUGUCUUGAAUCUGUUCAGACUUCUUUGGAUACCACUGUAGAACAUGUUGGAAAUAUACCUUCAUGGAAGUACAGGAAACAAUAUGUUUGUGCCCAUAAAACACAUUUCUGUGCAUGGGAUAAAGAGAGAUGUAUUUCGGAGUUUCUGUAAAUCUGCUUUUACCCAGGAGAACCAAUGAACCACUUCUUUUUUUUUUUUCUUUUCCUGCUCAGGUUCCAACUAGUACACAGUGUAUGAGUUUGUUGUCUCACAAUUAGCACUUACUGAAUGAUUAGCCUGUAAGGAUUUUAAUUAUGUGCUAUUAGGAUCCAUUUAGUGAGAAGAGCAUUUUAUAAUGCUUCUUCAUUGCUGCAGGUAUUUUUGUGAGAAAGUAAUUCCAGUUUUUCCAGCAUGUAUAUGGAGCAUACAUAGUCCACAAAGGAAGCCAAGUGAAGCCUGGGAGGCUGUGGCUGCAGAAGUUGCUUGUAGGGAAUUUUGAUCGUGUCCAAACAAGAGGGAAGUUUUCUAUUAACACUGUGGAGGUGCUUGCCUUAUUUUCACUGUCCAAAGAGAUUAGUUCUCAUUUCUUUGGGUAGGUCUUUAACUGGGAGAUACAUUAGCAAAUACCUAUUAUCUCUGCACUUCAAUCAUUUUAGGCAGUUUAUUUCCCAAAGGUUUGAGCUGAUAAUAGAUUCUGUAUUUCCACAGGGGGCUCCAGAAUCUCUAUUCAAUCUUCCUGCCAAUGACAACAAACAAACAAAGAAAAGCCCUUGAUGGUAAUACUUAUUGUCUCCUUUACUGAUAUCCAGUAAAGGGACUAGGUAGAAGGAAUAUUAUUUGUCAGCAUGAUGUCAGUUUAGCAGGCCUUGCAAAAAUGUUCUGUCCUUUCUUUAGAAAUACAGGAAAAGCCCUGCUGAAACUACAGAAUAAAUUCUUUCCCUUUUCAGAAAGCAUCUUCUGCUCCAUAUCACGUAGUCCGCAGGACUCCCAGCAUUACCUUACUUCAAAAUUUGGUCAUUUUUGUGAAUAUCAAAGAUGAUGGAGCUGAUGGUAAAUUCAUACUUUAAAGUGGCUGCUCCUGUUGUUUAACUGAGUUGCAAGUGCAAUGUGUUUGAAUUGCAGAAAUAGGAGAGCUAAGUGUGGUUUCUUAAUAGGCUACAGUUUAUGAAAGAUCCUGAACUCCUUGUCAAUUGCUUCCCUUGGUCUUUGAGAAUUAGAAUUUGCUGAAAUUUCUGGUAGUGCACCCAAGCAUUUGACGAGAGGAUAUCUGCUGUGGGGAUGUGUGGUGUUCAGUCUUGGAGCACUGGCAGCCAGCUGCUUAUGGCUAAUUAAGUGAGAGAAUUUCUCACACAGAGUUGAUUUAAUUUCUGUUAGAAUGCCCAGAGCACCAAAUGCAUGUCUGGUCACUGCGAAAACAUCCUUAAUACACAUUGAAAGAAUUAAUGCAAUUAAUUCACCACCACCAGAGGAAAAACCUUGGGAUUUGUUUGUGCAAAUUGAAAACUGAAAAUGAAUUUGCAAAACUAACUGUAUGAUAUUCUCACUUUUUACAUCAUGUGAGUUCUGUUUGUCAUGUAAAGCUCUGUCCUGAGAAGCAAGAAGCACGUACUAUGUUAACUAGGAGAGAUGAUGGGUCUCCUAAUUCCCUGUUGGAGACUGGAGAGUCCAUGACCUGUUUGUCCCAGGCAGUAAUGAAGACCUUUUCCCCAGGGGUUCAGAUAUCUCUUGGCCAUUUUAUUUUGCUUAAGCAUUUUUAUUUGUUAUAAUGAGAACUUGGGAAAAGAACAGUUCAAAAUGUAAAAAUAGCAAAAUGUGCGGAGGCUGCCGUUCAUUUUGUAAGUCAAAGCUUGUGACUAAAGUAUGCUGCUUAGCAACAAAUGGGGGAAAUCUGAAGGUGAUCACAUCAUUUUGCUCUCCCUGAAAAGUAAUUAUUCAUGUUCCUCCUACCUUUUAAGCACCAUCCUUUUCAUGUCCCUUUUCUGCUUGGGAUGAGCGCUAUGUGGCUGGUUGAGUUGUGCAACCUAGUUUUAUCAUCAGCAAUACUUGUGCUGCUGCAGCUGUGAUUCAGCUGGAGAGCUCCAGCUCAGAUUUCAGCUCUCUCUCUCCCAUAAUGCUGCACAUAAUGUGUACUUGUCCUUAUGGACCAAGACAUAAAUGUAUGUGGAACUGUUGGGGGGAGUCCAGAAGAGGGUCAUGAAGAUGAUCAGAGGGCUGGAGCACCUCUCCUAUGCAGAUAGGCUGAAAGAACUGGGCUUAAAGGAGGGGAAUCAACUUUUUUUACAUGGGUAGAUAGUGGUAGACAAGGGGGAAUACUUUAAACUUAAGGAGGAAAGAUUUAGAUUGAAUGUUGGGGGAAUUUUUUUUACUGAGAGUGGUCAGGUGCUGGAACAGGCUGCCCAGAGAGGUUGUGGAUGCUCCGUCCCUGGAGGUGUUCAAGGCCAGGUUAGGUGGGGCCCUGGGCAGCCUGGUCUGGUGCUUGAUCUAGUGGCUGGCAGCCUGCCUGUGGCAGGGGGAUUGUAACCUGAUGAUCCUUGGGGUCCUUUCCAACCCAAGCCAUUCUGUGAUUCUGUAUGUGGCCAUUCAUUAAGCUCGUACAUCAGUCUCAAUGAGCGCUGUUCACCAACUCUUGCCUUAACUCCCCUUCUGUGACUUCUUACACCCUGAUUUCUGAGUUUGACUUUUCACGUCUUUUUGUAUGACUUCAAAGAGCACAAGGUUGCUUUUCUUUCUAGGCUUGAUUUUUCUUUAGGAAAUUACUUGUACUCCAGGUUGAAAACAACAUUUUUCAUAAAUAUUACUUAUUAACUAUUCUUGGUUUGGGGCAGUUAGUAAGCUGUAAAGUUUCUGUUCAUUUCCUUUGAAAAAAAUGUGAUGAUUGUCUUCCCUAACUGACUGAGAGUACUCCCCCCCAGUCUGGUUAGAAUCCUCACAUUCUGGGUUUGGAUUAAAGCUUUUAACAAUUUUUAUCCUCAGUAAACAAACACCCCAGAAAUCCACCUAUGUGCAGAAUGUGUUCAACAGUUCUUGAAAUAGUGUUCUGUUUCUGAGCUUGCAUUUGGAUAAAAGGCUGUGCAUCUUCAGACUAUGAAACCAUUUCAGAAAACAAAACAAUCAAACAAAAACAAAAAACAAACAAACAAAAACAAACAAAAUCCCACCCAAAACACUAGGGAGGGGAGGUAGCUCUCAGUUUUAGAAACAAUUCUCGUUGACUGCUCUGGCAAUGAUCUUCAGAAUUACCUCAUUAUUUAUUCUUAGUGCACCAAUUAAACAAACGGUUUUAUAUAUAGAAACAGGAUGGACUUAGCUUUUUCAGGGUCCUUUUCAGAGACAGACAUCAAAGAUGUACAGGAUCUAUUUGCUCACACGUGAUGUUUAAGCCACCUGAAAUAUGGCAGGAAUCCCUAAGAAGCCAAUGGGGCUGAGAAAGAAAAAAUAAUCCCAGUUUUUUGUUUGUAACACAUUGUGGAAAAGAUUAAGAUUGCAAUUAUUUGUUCAAAUGUUCAUGUGAAGGAAAUAUUAGUGAAAAAAAAAAAUCCUGAUUAUGAUCCGUCAGCGGGUGAUGUGCAAUAUAAUGCUUUUGGUUAUAUGAAGUAUGAUCAAGGCAGCAGUUGAAAUAUCUUUGCCGUCUGAAAAGACUUUUUUUAUAGAUUAGCACUUGACACACUGAGGUGUGCAGUAGAACAGUCCUCAGAAGUUUCUAGCUGUUUUUUUUAAUUUGGACAGGCAGGACUCUUGGAGGAUGUCUAGAUUUCUGUUGUUGUGGUAGAGCUGAAGGUGAUCUGAAUGUGUCCAUUCUGUAAGAGGAAUCUCUCUCAUCUUAGACUUCCAGGCUUCAAGCCUUAAUAAUAGAGUGCAACACUGUCAGUUACUAAAACAAAAAAAAGUGGAUUGAUACACUUCUGAAUGCAUCUGUAAAAAAAAAAAAAAAAAAAAGUACGUGUUGGCAGUUAGAAUCAGGUCAUAGUUUAAUACAUGUAUACAGUGAUUGCUAUGUUUUUUUCUGAUUCUUUUUUCCAACUUUUAAUUUUCACUGAUUUUAAAGAUGAAGCAGGGAGUAAGUUUACCUUAGCAAGAAGAAGAGCGAGGUAGAGGGGUUUGAUUGUUAAAGAAGACUUGAGUGGAUGUUGGAAGUGUAAUAUGUGUUAAUAGUCUUUGUUGGUUUUGGUCUUCUCAGUCCUGAUAUGUAACAAUGCAUGGAAUAUGAGUUAUUUUAGGCUCUAAAAAUUUGACAGUUGUAUUACUCUGGUGCAAUAAAAGGAUAUGAGACAUAAAUGUCACAAGAAACUUUGUGAAUUCUGCUAUCUAUGCUUAAGAUUCCAAGAAUUUUGUUGUGUGCAAAAAAUGCUCUGAAAAUUUCAUUAUUUCCUAUACCACCAACUAAUUAUCUAUAUUUAGUCUGGUGUUAAUCUGCUUCCAAAAACAUAAUACUCAAAAGGGAAAAAAAAGUUUAUUAGCAAGAACUGCCAAUGGGCUGCUGCUCUGUGUUUUCUCUAAAUGUCAGUUUUCCAACUAAGUCACACCUUGAGUCUGAGACCAACGUGAAAAUAAAGUACAUGUUGCAGAUCUAAGUCCCUGGCUAUUGAGUACUGGACAAGGAUCCAGUGCAGUCAGUCUUGAGAAGAGCUCCACGUUAAUUCUGCAGAGUAGAUGCUACAGACUGCAGUAAUACUGAAGCAGCAUUCCUGAGGACAGACAACUGGAGAACCCAGACAGACAUCAAGUUAGGAAAAGAGAAGGAAAAUAAAAGAAAACAAACAUAGGAAAGAUGUAUGAAAGAUGAAAGUUUAAGAGAGAAUCUGAAAAUAAUGCAAACAUAGCAGUCAUGGGAACUAAGUUUCAAAGAAGCCAUAAGAUGUUACUUAAACUAAUUUCAAACGAUGCUGUGGGCAUGCAACAUGGACCUAAAGUGCAGCUGUGCAGUCCUGGCGCUGCCAGCCCCUGGAGAAGAGGAGGCUGGGGGAUCUCAUCAUAUUUGAAAAAUCGUGGCUGUUGGAUGAAGUCCCUGGUGAGUGAAAAAGGGAAACAUUCCUCCCACUUUUAAGAAAGGGAAAAAGGAAGACCCGGGGAAUUACAGGCUGGUGAGCCUCACCUCUGUGCCUGGGAAGAUCAUGGAGCAGAUCCUUCUAGAAGCUUUGUUAAGGCUCAUGGUACAUAUGGUAGCAUCCAGCUUAUGGAGCUUGAAAUAAAAAUUGUCAAUUGGGAAGCCAACACAGUUCUGUAGCAAUUCUCAGUAUUUCUUUAUGCUGUUUGGCACAGAAAUUAUGUAUUUGUUUAAUAGCUUUUUUUUGGCACACACUUGCUUUUGGAUUCUGUUCUCCAGUCACAGAAGUGGAAUUCGAGAUGACUAAAAGAAAAGUCAAGAGAAAUAUUUUUUGAAAAUUAUUUGUGGUUAUAUUAUCACUGAGAAUGAGGAAGGCUCAGUCACAAAGCCCUCACAUUCAAGCUUUUGUACUUCUUUUAGGAGUCGCUGUUCUACAGUACGGCCGUAUGUUGUACAAGCAGCAUGGGUUUCUCUGCAGCUGGCUUGUGUUCAAGUUUUGCAAGCAUACAUUUGAAAGCAGUUAAUAUCGCUGGCACUAGAAAUGCCUGACUGCAACAUGCUUAUACAGAAAAAAUAAUUUUGAAGAUUUUGUUUGUUCUGGAAGGAACCACUCUGACAACAGGGGCAAGUAAAAAACAACGGUGGCCUUUGUAGCUAAAAAUUGCAACUGCUACCACUACUCGGAACAGUAUCCAGAUAAUUUAGAUACAGGAACUACAAUGUAACCUAUCUUGUGCAAAGUAACCUUUGCCAAUACAAGCUGCCUUUGUUUCAAAGAGAUUCUGGCUUUGUUGUUACGAGAGGAAACGUCAAGCAAGCAAAGCCUGGGACAAAGUGUAGAAACAAGCAAUUUGGUAACUUAACAUCCUCAUCGAAAAAGCAUAUAAAACCUAUCAAUUUUACAUAUUGACUUUUAAUUUUAAAUAAACAAGCACAAAGUUAAGAGUCAAGAAAUGACAAGAUACCCAAAAUUCAUCGCUUUUGGUGAAAGAAUGCUAAAGAACACCAUAAGGUCAGAGAAUGCAUCCAAAGGAUUUUCAUCAUUUUUCCAUGGUUUUUUUUGUUUUUCUUUGGCUGCUUGUAGGUGAAGUAUGACUCCUUGGCUUCGUUAUUUCAACUUUAGGUGGUUUCAUGACAUGAGACAUCUCCCACCUUUCUUACCAGUUGGUUACUACUGCUUCAGAAGGACAAACCACUAAUGUGCCCUCAGAGAUUAUUAUAACCUAGACUGUAACCAAACCUCAUAAAGAUAUCCAGACAAAAGGAGCAAUACCAUACAACAAUAACUGCAGCAUAUAUUAAAGAAAAAAACUGCAAUAGAAAAUAGUUACAAAAAUUCCACUCAAACAAUAUCUAUUAAAUAAUAUGCAGUGCAAUCAAAUAAUAUAUGUAUAUGACUUUGAUCUAGCAUAUAAUUAAUGCAGCAAAGGCUUUACAACAUCUUCACAUAGCCUUUAUUUUCACCUUACACAAACCUAAGGAAAAAAAGUACUGACAAAGCUGCUGUGCAAUACUGGGUGUCAGUCCUGCCAAUCUGAAAAACAGCAAAAAACCCCAUUUGUUUAACAUCUUAAUGAUGCAAAUGCACAAACAAUACAUGUUUUCAAAGGUUGUUCAACUCCCCUUUUUUUGAGCCAAGUUCCUUAAGACACACAUUCAGGACAAUUAUAUUUUUAGUUCAGUUUUCUGGUAUCCUAGCACCACUGUUCAGGCAUUCUCUAUGCAGAACAUUUCUGGCCUUAUUGCUCUGAAUAAGCAAAUGCCUUGUGGAAGGACUUAUAUACUAAAUGGAAAAAAAGCAGCAUGUACAGCAAUAGAAACCCUAAUCUUAGCUACACACCAAAAAAAUGUUCUGAUCUCAAUACAGGGAAAGCAGAAGCAAGAGGUAUGUACAGUUAGAAUAAUUUAUUUUUUAAAUUAAUGAAUUCUAAUUUUGUUAUGAAUCAUCUUAUUGGUGAAAUGCGCAUCUGCAGAAAAAAAGUUCAUUUUCAAAAUCUCACAGCUCAGACUGUAAAUUAACAAGUUUGUAAUUGACACUUCAGAUGCACAGCAAACAUUAAAUCUGAAAUUGCACAUCAGGUCUUCACUGAGCUUGAACAGAAAACUAAUAAUUUACUUAAUUGUGAGAGCGUAUAGAUCUGUCAUUAAAAUUUUAAAAUAUACAUAUGCAAGUCUUUACAGAUAAUUAAGAGUUUGUAAACAGCUAAUGUGAUUACAUUAGCAUGUAAUGACAGAUUGGUAAUGAUCAAUCUUUUUGGCAAUUGCAGUUUGCUGCAUUGCUGUCACAUCAAAGCUAAGUGCAUAAUAUGUGCUUUUUAGCAAUGUAAACAUUCACGAACUAUCAAAAUAAUCCCAUUUCCUCUCUGCUUUAUGCUGCACCAAAUGCUAAGAUAUCUUCCAGGUGACACCAGCUUUACUGAAUUCACUGACAGAUGCUCUACUUAAGACAUAAAAAUGCAAGUGAAUAGGAUAUGAAAAGAAGACAACAUUGGCAGAACUGUUAAUUCUUUUGGAAAACCUUACCCAGAAAGCCAUUGCAUUAUAUGAGAGGAGAUGUGCUGUCAUAAAAGAAUAGUCCCAAUGGUAUACCUAUAUUUUACUUUAAAGGAAAUGAGGUGAAAGAGCUUUUAGCUUUAACAAGACAUAUCUUUCAAAAGGAAACAUCUCUUUCAGUAAGACUUAGCACUUAACUUUAAUGGGCUUGAUGAAGAAUUUAGUUCAUUCAGUGUUAUUAUAAAAUGUUAAAGUGCUGUAGAAAUAACAAUCAUUUGCAUUUCUGUAUUAAAAAUUUUCCUCAUGAAACCAGCCUUCAGUAAUAACUAGCUCAGAUACUAAACCUGAUGGGACAGCACUUGCAGAGAACAGCUGCUUAUUUUAGAGGGUAUUUCUAAAAAUAUUUCAUGUAUCCUGCCACAGUACCGUGCAGGAAAAGCUUAUCUACAACAUAUGCUGGUCAGUCCCAUUAGUCAUCUUUUAUUUUUUUCUUUAGAUAGCGCCUCCUUGUAGGUCAUGUGAAUGAAGUCAAAGAGUUGUGUGGCAUUGGCGGCAUUACCCAAAAUUUCACAGAGUUUGUCCUUUGACAGUGUCACCAGCUCAGCAAUGCUUUUCACGUGGUUCAUUAAGGCAUGGCAGUUUUUUGCAUUAACACCUGGCAUUUUUAAUAGAAAGUCCUGAGGACCAGGGUUAUACUUGUCUGACUCAGGAAGAGUUUCAGAAUCUGCUGUGACUGCCAUUGCAGUUUCUGCGUCAGGCUGUGGACGGUUUUGUUUUAACUCUUCAAACAGUUCAGCAGUAGCAUGGGGUGAGGGACACCACAGGAUACGUAACUUAGGGAAGUGGAGUGUGAGAAGGGUCAGUUUAGAAGUAACAUCACUACUGGAAAUCUCCUGACGUAGGGAGCCUUGUGGAAUCAAGGAGAAAGGUUUGUUAGGAUCAAAUUCAAUCAGAAGAAUUGGUCGCUUAUAGUAACGUGACAUAGAAAUGCAUUGCGUAUACAAUCUUCCAUUAUUUAAGGAACCGAUAAGAUCGCUGAUACUUUUUCGCUCUACACAGAUAUCAGGAGUUAAAAUGUAAUCUCCAACUUCCAAAGUAACAGGCUCAAUGUCAAUACCACGACGAUGAAUCAGUGAUGGAAGCUCACUACGAAAUUCCCGCAUGUCCACUAUUAUAGUCUGUUGAGCAGUCUUCUGUGCCUGUCCACCUAAAGGGCAAAACAAAUAGAGUUAACCUGUCCUCAUGACCUUUGACUAUACCUUCCCUGAAGCACACUGCAUAAUGGAAGCACUGUUUUUAUUUCUCUCCACCUCGCUACAGGCAGUGUUAGUCUCAUAAUCAACCAGCUGUCCAGAAAUAGUCCAAAUGUUAUCUCAUCUUAAUGGUAAAAUACUAAUUAAGCAAUAGUUUCUUUUCAAUGAAUUAUAUUUUUCUUUGUUAUUUCACAGACAAGGAAGUGAGAGAUGGACUAAGGCAGAUACUAUUUGAUCCCCAUCAGGAAUGCAGAAUCAGUGUGCCUCCAUCACCCACCCACAUGUUUUGGACGACAUUCAACCACAGCAGGUUACAGGCCUUUUUCACAGCUCGGAGCUGCAAGCUUAACUUCAGAACUGCUUACCUGCUUUGCGUGUGUCAGUGGAAACAGAGGCAGGCUUAACAUCUCUUAUUAGGUCUAGGUUUGUGUCAUCUCUUCCUUCUCUUUCUUCAGGAACAACCAUACUGGCUCUUUCUCUGAGGAACCAUAAGCCAAGAAUCACUAAAAACUGCAGUGAAAUGUCAAUACAUCAAAAUACAUAAAUGUUCAGCAAGAUGCAAAAUUACAUAGAGUUGAAUGCUAAUUGAAAACCUGACAAGAAACGCAAUCCAGAUUGGGCUAGAUUCUAGACUUUUAUUCUCAAUUUUUAGCACUUCCAAGUGUCUUUUUAUUGUUAGAACUUUUUAGAGCAUAUGAAACAAAAGAACUAAUGACUAGAACUAGAAGUAUAAGCUAGUAGUAUAAGAAGACAAUGUCUAAGAAAAUAAUUGUUUUGCUCCUGAACACUACUUAAGUUAUGAAAACCUUAGAAAUAUCUUAUGUGUUACCUGCAGACAAAAACAGUUUCCAAUAUGAAAUUCAUAGACAAUUAAGUAAAAAUACCAGUUGUGCUGGGUAGCUUAUUUAAAGUCUUCUCACUGGUAAAAACCAUUUAAAAUAUAAGCACAUAAGGAAACAAUGUGAAAAAUGAAUAAUGUAGAUAAUACGCUAAUUGUUACCGAAUUAGUUUUUCAAAGGCCUCCUUCUCUUUUCUCAGGGCCGUGAGGUAGCGCUGUUCUUCUGUUGAGCUUCCAUAGAUGAGGAAAUAAACCCUACAGGUUUGGAGGAAAAAAAAGAAAAAGUUGACAGAUAUUUAAGAUUAGAAGCACUAACUGCCUGAAAAAUUUCUAUCUCAUUUUCCGUCUUUUACCAACGUCAUAUACUCUUACUGAAACUUUGGGAUUCAACGAGAGUGGAUUGCCAGAAGUGGGCAAUAGAUUUUAUUGUUCUUUCAAGAUAAAAAUUUAACCAACUGCAUGCUUGAUUAGCACCAAGUCAACUUGCCUCAGAGGCUUCCCAGGUCUGCCUGCCUUGUAGAUUUCCAGCUGCCGAACAAAAGUUAGUUCUGCAUCAUACAGUACAACAUAUCUUGGCUCUACUUCAUGCAGCACCCGAGUAAGAGCGUAGGGAUCACUGCAACCGUACAGUGGAUGAAUAAUUGUGAGCGGGUUUUUGAAAAUACCAUAGUAGGAAUCUGAGGGUAAUUUCACAGGGAAAUCUUCAGGAAAGGUCUCUUCAAUACUGCCUUCUUGGCUUCCAUUUAAUUCUUUGUUAUCUUCCACAUCCAACUCCUCUCUGUUUUCCUCCUUAGUUUUCCCUAUCAUUUGGACUACAGUUUGGUCAUGCUGCUUCUUGUGUUUGUUUUGUUUUGAACCAGUAGAGAGUUUGGCUUUUUUGGCUUGAGGUCCUGUGUCUGGUCUGGCAUUUCCUUUGGACUUGACCACUUUUCUGUCCUUUAUCCACACUUCUCCAGCUUUCUCAUCCUUUCCAAGUGUUUUAUUAUACAGUCUCAUUAAAAAGGCUUCUGCUCCAUCAGUAAUAUACUCCCUGAGCUGUGCACAAGCUCGGUCAUCACUGGCACAAAUAAGAACUUGUCCUGCAGUCAAGAAACAACAUAAUGUUUGUAAUCUGUUACACUAUAAUUCCUUUUAUCCAGCCACAAGACAUCUUGAUCAUAUAAACUGUUAUUAAUGAUCCUAGAAGCAUGCCUGCCAAAUGCCUUUACAGUUGGUGGUCACAGUUGCUGUGGACUUACAGGAAGUUUGAAUUACACCACAUUUUAUACCAAACAAGAUCAGAGGUUAAUGGAAGUUCAGCAUUCCUUAUUCUCACACCAUCUAAAUCAGUUUUUUUCUUUUAAUCAUUUGAAAGAACGCAAAUAUAGUAUAUACUGAAGCAGACAACUUUUUUAUACAUAUAUAUAUAAAAAAUCUUUUUUAUGCAGAAUAAGAGUACUUAAUUGGGACUGUUCUAGUUUUCGGCCUCUGUCAUCUGUGUCAGGGAUUCUAAAAAAUGCAUGUUUCACACAGUAUUAUUGACAGUUGUGGGCCCUAAAUAACAAUUCUCUGCUAGCUGACUCAGAUAAACUCCUACAGCACUAGGCAAGAGAGCUGGUUCUUAUCCACAAUCAGAACACUGUGGGUGGGAGAAAAGAGCACUUUUUUACCCUCACAAUUUCCUAAAAUAAAGCUUCCUAUAACAGGAAAAGCAGAAAAGGAGUUAGAAACACACUGGGUAAGAGAUAACAGGAAGACAUCUAUGAAAAUGUUAUAACAUAGAGAUCAGGUGCAAGGCCAAGGUUACAGUGGUAGAGAAGUCAUCUGGUUCCAGCAAAUGGAAGCACCAGCACAAACCACUGGUAGCCACCUUCAGCUUUUGGUUUGACUCUAUUCUGGGAAAGGUCACAUUUUAAUGUGUAAAGUUUUUGUAGUAGUUUUAAAACCAAAUACUUCUACAUAAACACUUUGUCCUAAUUAAGUCCACAAAUUAUUAUAUUUAAAACUAUUAAGAUAAUUUAAUAUCCUCUCACCUGGACCACCGAGGUCUUCACUGUUCUUAUUCUCAUUUUCAAUCUCAUUGAGUACUUCUCUCAAAGCUUCCCAUUUUGGGUUACUUUCUAGAACCAAUUCCCUUUUCAGUUCUGAAACAAAGUACAAUUGAACACAGCAGCUUUUACAAGCCAAAAUACUCUUCAGAACUUUAAUGGUUCAAUGUCAUAGCAUGAUAGCUGUUGGCAAGGACAAUAAUCAAUAGCCUACAUACGCAACUUGUUAUACUGAGGGGGCUCAAGAACACUCAUUAAAAUUAUAAACAUUUAAAAAUAGGGAAAAAUGCUUUAAUGAAGCAAAAAGUUAAAGUAUUCACUUGUCCUUCAAUUCUGAAACUCCUGAAUAUGUAUCUGUGCAUUUUAAAUUAAACUAAUGGCAGCUUCUUCUCCCUUCAUAUGAAAUGAAUAAGAUCAAGCUAAAUACUUAUGCAAUUCAAGAACAAUCCCAUACAAGCUCUCCUAGUGAUUAGGUGAGUAAGGUGAGAAGAAUCUUUUAUUUCUUCAUUACUUUCUGUUUUUUAUUACAUAGUUUUUGAGGAAAGAUUAUGCCUUGGUAUCUUACGUAGCUGACUGAAGUCUGGAGCUGUGUAAGACCCAUGUAUUGAACCACAGCACAAGUAAUAAUAUGCAGACUGUUCAAAAUCAUGUGACACUCUCCAAUUUAAAAUUAGGAAUGAUGAGUACCAUUUUCCUUCUUUACAUCUCUGUUUUCAGAGACUUUGCCCUUCUGAUUCAGUUUCUCAUCUGCAGUGCGAUAAACUCUGGCUCGAGCAUUUACAAACAUGGAAGUACUGGAGUCAAGAAACAGCCAACCUAAAGACAAAAGGAAAAUGACAUUUGAACUGUACAUGAUUCAGACCAUUCCAAUACAAGCCCACAUAUCUUAUCUGGAUUACCUGUACAACCUGCACUACCUGCUCACUAAGUAACUACUAGCUAAAUAAAAAGCAGAAAUACGAUACAAAUCUCACACUGUUAAGUAACAGCAGUUAUGUGGGCAGAUGAAAGCAUUAUGUGUCAAUAAAAACCUACGUCCUUAUGGCUAGUUAUAUAAAACCUAAUUAGAUACCUUCGUAUGUUUAGGAAUGUUGAUUAAAAGAAUCAGCAUCUCAGUAUUUCAUGCAUUAACUUACCUGAAUUCUCACCAAAAGCUUUUUCACUUGCUUUCAGCGACUCCAGAAGAUUAAGGAAAGUGACACAAUCAUACUGAGUUAGAUACUGUAGCAAAGUACGCAGUAUCUUCAAAUCCUGGACCAAAGAUUUUGUCUUAGCUCCGAGUUGAUGCCAGAGAGGAUCUAAAUAGUGACGUAUUGUCUAGAAAUAUAAAUUGGAAAGUUCAAGAUGUCAAAUAUCUACUAUACUAAUCAAGAUAGGAAUGCCUUAAAAAAAAAACAACCACACGUAAUAUAGAUUUUUUAACAAAUUCAGGAAUUCAAAAAUUCAAAAAACUUAGGCAAAGUAACAGUUAGCAGCUAUAUAUAAUUUAAUGUGUUCGGUACAUAUUUUCUUUCCCAUAUUAAAAAAUUGGUAAUAUAAAUAUUAAUUUAAUAUAUAUGUGCUCAUAUAUAUAUAUAUGAAUUUAAUAUUCAAUAUACAUAUAUAUAAAUAUAUAUGUCACUGGCCUCUGCCUUUCAUAUUUAAGACUGUUUAUUUAGGUAAAGUAGAAAACAUUGUAAUGUCAUUUAAUUUUUAACAUAAGAUGAAUACAGUGCAGAAAUGCCUCCAGAUUUUCUAAAGUACAGAACAUUUCGUGUCAAGACUAGAUUACAGUUAAUGAGCAAAUGUUGAAAUUUAUGAUUUUACCCUACAGAAAGUAUACAUAAGUAUGCCAGUCAUAUUGCAGACCUUCCAGUAACACCACCACACACACAGUUAAUUCACAUAUAUGAUGGUUAAAAAUACAACAGCUGCACGCACGUGGAUGUUAUCUAUUAUAUACCAUGCUUCAUCUACUAGAGAAAAUAGAAAAUGCAGGUAGGAAAUUCAAGAGAAAAACUGGGCAGGGAAGGAAGGUGAGAAUGCAGCAUACCUAUGUCUAUUAUUAUACUGUGAAUCAGAAUGUUUUUGAUGUAGGAACCUGCGAAGUGAAGUAAGAACAAUCAUGCCAAUUCACCAAGAAUCCUACUGGCAAACUGUAACAUCACCUCCUGGUAAUUUAAUUAUUUCACAAACAAUAUUUUUGUUUGCACACCAAACUGUUUGAAGAUCUACAUUCCUUUACAAAGGGAUCCCUUUACAAGACAUAGCAAAACAAUCAAAAUGAUUACCUUGUCAAAAGCUUUACCAAGAGCAUUUUCUAAAGAUAGAUCUUCUACUUCAAGAGCUGGAUUAUAACGUUUCAGUUCUCUCAGACACGCAUUCAAAAUGUCCAGGAUUGAAGUCUGGAUAGCAAGCAUACUAGGAGUCAUUGACACGUGUAUUUCCACCACUUCAGGUUUAUGCUUCUCUAAAAAUGAGUUCACUGCUAUAUGAAAUCUACAAGGAAAACAGCUUAUUAAGAUUUACGAAUAUUUUGCUUGACACCAUAAUUCAAAAAGUUCAUACAAACUAAAGUUACAAGUGAUUUAAAUGUAAACAAGUAGGCUAAAUGCAAAUCGUAACCCUUUCGACAGAGACAAAGACUGCAGUCUGAUGAAUGGUCUCAUAAAACCACCUGAUGAUUCCCUGACUACAACUGUUUUCAUCCUCAUCAUAUGAGCCUAUAGCACUGGUGACUGAUCCCUGGAGAACUACUGCACUAGAUUUCACAUUGUUAUUGCAGGUAACAAAUCCUGAAGUAAAAACAAAAGAUCUCAUAAAGAGGAGACUGUAAUGGGCUCAUAAACGCUUUGAAAUCACAUGGAUCCACUGGCAAAUACUGUGAUAUCCUUAGCUUUGAAUAAUACGCAGCAGGUCCCUGGCUAUAGGGGCUGUGUUGUAACAAUGAGGCUAUUGCUACAUGGGUGCUAGCUGAUUUUGACUAACAGAAGACAACAGAGAAGAACACUACCAACCUCAGGUCUCUCCAUCGUUCAGAAACUCUAAAUUUUCUUCCUUAGCUUGUGUUCAACCUUUCCUACCCUAGCUGUGUCCAUUUCUAUUUUUUUGUAAUGCUAAAAGGAAAACUUAAAAUUUUGACUUUACAGUGCAGAGCAUGAGUACACGAGAUGGAGUGAAACACAUUCUAGACUGGACAGAAGGAGCAGAUAUGCACACCCCUGGUCCAACGCAAGAGCACCGAAUGGGUGAUCAGCUGAACUGACCAACUCUGUGGCUCUGCACCUGAAAGACUUACUGCAUGCCACAGGCUUGGCAACCUAGUUUCUAACAGUUAUCAAGAAAUAUUCCUCACAGACUACAUACCCAUAGAGGAAGAUUACAGAAAAACCCAACAACUGAUUAAACACAAACCAAUAAAACACAGACAGAGAUAAUCAUGGAGCUUCUUCACAACUGGAAACAAAUCCUUCCGUGCAUGGUAGAAUUGCAGGACCAUAUCCCUGUUACUUCAUGGCUUCAAGAUGACGUUUAAUAAAUUACACUUUUCUUAAGCUAUUAUAAAUAUCACUAUCUACUAUGAUUUCUACUGGCUAGAAGGACAGUUAUACUGUAAGGUUCUGCCUCUUAUAGAUUUAACUUGAGUCUAUUUUCAAAAACGCCUUGAGAAAUUUAGCAUUUUUAAAAUCACUUCUUUCAAUAAAUGAGCGAAAUCAGCUUGUGAAUACAAAUACAGAAUACAGACUAGCAGUGUGCCUACAUAAAAUUAAUUUUGUUAGGAGUCCAUGGUAGCAAUCAUAAUAAUUUUAAGUUCAGUGUAGUAGAGAGGUAUCUUACCUUGGCCACAGGUAAAGUUUCCUGACAAAAAGGUUUCUCAUCACUCUUUCCACUUGGCAAAAACCAGUGUUAAAUGCAACUGCAUUAUCUGUAAAAGCUUUAAUGAAGCCUUCCUUGUUUUUUUGGCGAUAAAGUCGCAAUAUAAAUGAUUCCUGACAGGACUCAAUGAUUCUGUGUGCUUUGUAUACCAAAACACCUGAGAAAAUAAAUGGUUUUCAAGUUAAAAAGUAGUAAAGAAAGGCUGAAUACUUUAUGUAUUUUUCCCAAGUUUGUCUUACUCUUCUGUUUUUGUUCAAGUACAAUUUCAGCCUUCUAAAAUGACAUCAAACAAGCUUACGGGGGUUCAUAAAAUAGCUUGGGUUAGAAAGGACCUCAGAGAUCAUUGAAAUCCAGCCCCACAGCCAUGGGCAGGGCUGCCCCCUACCAGCUCAGGCUGCCCAGGGCCCAUCCCACCUGGCCUCAAACACCUCCAGGGCUGGGGCAUCCAUAGCUUCUCUGGGCAGCCUGUGCCAGCAGCUCACCACUCUCUGACUGAAAAUUUCCCCAACAUCUAACCUAAAUCUCUCCUCUUUUAGUUUAAAGCUGUUCCCUUUUGUUCUAUCCCUGUUUGCCUGUAUAAAAAGUCAGUCUCUCUCCUGAAACCUAGCAACUCCUCACUUACAUUACCACAGAGCCUCUCAGUUACAGAGCUGGGUUAAUGAUGAUCUUUAGCGAAAAAACCCUGUGCUCGAGUAGCAGGACUCAGUAGCUUCCACAGUGCUUCAUUCUUUAAGCACGACUUGGACUUGGAACUUUUGAAAGGAGGAAGACUGAAUGCAAGAUGUAACACAGUAACACCACAGAGCAAGUUUGAUAUCUGAAUUCUUUUAUUACAGAAGUUCUAUAAUCAUAGACUUGUUGAAUAUGUUUCUUUGAUUAUCAAAAAACUUGAACUAUUCUCAAAGAACUUCUGAAAAUAUUUUUUGUGCUAUUUCCUCCUUCUGAUAUUCAUAUUCACAAUUGUGGACAGAAGGGAUUUUCAACUUAAUGGCUACACCAGCAACUUUAUUCACAGCUAUGAGCAUUGGGAAAAAACUUUUGUACGCAUUUUAGUACAGAGAAAUGAAACAAUAGUUAAACUGCCUUUGGCCUUUGAGGCAAACACGUUAGUUGCCCAAGAAACAAAUUUCUGCUGGUUUUGCACGAUCUCACUUACAGGCAGUAUGUUUCUAAUAGAAACACGUUUCAGCUGAGCUUUUAAUCUCUAAAAGCUGCUGUCACACUGACCUCUGGUGGCACUACGUGGAGUAGGACAACUCUAGGUCAUUUCAGGUCAGGAGGUUUUGGUUUUUUAAGUCUCCAGUGUGUUUCUUCUUUUCAUCCACACAAAACCAAAGUAGGGCGCCUCAAAACUUUACUUUUUUUUUUAACCUAGAAAUAACAGAACUGAGUAUGGUGUCCUUUGGCUGCAGCAUGAAAACUGUUUAAAAUGUUGCACAGAUUAGAACUUCUCAUAUACUGACUAAAAUGAAAGAGAGUUUCUGAAGCAAAAACUUACAUACAUCUGAGCAUUCAAUAUUCAGUUGUAUUCAGCCAUUAUUAUGACGCUAAUAUUUAUAUAACACUAAAAUAUUCUUAUAUCCCUGGCUCUUAAUAUCUGAUUUACUGGCUCUGUGGGCUUUAAGAGGGCUUCUGCCUUAGACAAGAAUAUAAAAGCAAGCAGGGAAAGAGGGGGAACAGAACAUGGGAGAACAAGCAUGCACAAGUUCUAUACAACAACAAAAGGUCACAAGGUAUUUCCCAACUCUUUAGAACACUGUUAUUUCAUAACAGAAAGCAUCUAAAGUGUUACAAGGGGAAGAUUAGUUAGGCAUUGUUAUUUUAUUUGAUGGGAAAAGUUGUCAUGAGGAAUUCAUUAAUGCAAAAAACCGCAUGCUUAUCAACCGUACACACUGGCAAUCGGUUUCGAUCACAGGCUGUGUUCUAAGAGUAUUCUGGAUGCUACUUCACCAGGCACAGACGAUUUUUCUACUUGGGAAGCAAUGCAGUCAAUGUGAAGACGUUUCUUACGCCAAUGGCAAUUUCACUGGUGAUUGUUUUCCAAGUGGUUACUGAUAUCAAAAUCCCUACAGAUGCAUUACCCACUAUCUAAAAAGAAUGUGGGUGUUGUGUCAUUAAACAAAGCAAAUGAGUGCAACCUAUUGCAGGGACCUGCUUUAGCAGGAGGUUGGACUCAGUGAUCUCUUGAAGUCCCUUCCAACCCCUGUGAUUCUGUGAUGACGACUAAAAGAAAAAAGGAAGUGCAUAUUUGCACCUUUCACCAAAGUCUUAUUAAAGAAAUAAUUCUUUAGCCUCAACACCAUGAGUAGAACUCCACACAGAGUUAAGCUUUAUGUAUUUUUAAACAGAACAGCCAUCCGUUUCCUUCAUUAAGCUCUUACCAGUGAUGAGGUUUGCAGGGAUUCUGUCGGUGAGGAAAUCAACCACGAGGAUUCUGCUAGUUGCAAAGAGAACCCCCCCCUGCGUGUAGAACUCAUAGCGGGUGUUGCUGGGGAUCUCAUUGGUGACACGCCGAGGAAGGUGCACAACUCCAUCCGACCGCAGCUGGUCAAUAAAAUACUCCUGCAGCAGGCACAGUGAGAACACAGACCUUCGUUAUGGAUCUCAAGAGAAUCUUAAUUAUGCAUGUUCCGCUUAUUUAGAAAAACGGCCCCAAACCAAUUGAAAACAUGGCAGCGUGAGACGCUACCCAAAGAAAGUUAGGACUUCUUUUCUUGUCGGUACAGCUGGGUAAGCACCAGCCUUGUUCGGGUGGCUCAAAGCCCCGCACAUUGUCAAUAGCAGACACACAGGACUUAAGUGUGACCCACGGCACGUCGGCACUCUGGAAUUCUUAGCAUCCCGUUUUCCCCUGUGUUGUCGUGGCACUUCUAAAGAGAUGAGGCAAUUUUAACACCGACUUACGGACGGAGAAUUGGAAAGGGAGCACCCGCUGCCAAAGGCAGCUACGGCAGGGCAGCCACUGCGUCAAACUUUCCCUCAAAAUCCACGGCCUCUGCCGGGCCCGGCCCGCUCCGCGCCCCGCCGCCUCCUCGCCCCGCCCCGCGGCCCGGCGCCGGGCGCGAAGGGUUCAGCUCACCUCCUCGGCGGGGCUCGUGUUCAGCACCAGCACCAGGCUGGCGGGUUCGCAGUAAAGGCGGAGGAAGCGCAGCAGCAAGCGAUCGAUGCCGAGCCCGCGGGCGCAGACCACCAGCCCGUCCUGAUGGAACAGGUCCAGGAAGAUCUGGCUCUCGUGCUCCAGCAGCGCCGCCAUCGCCGCCCCGCGACUGUUGCAACGGCGCUUGCGCGCGAGCCGAGCGCCCGCGCCCG